rnacentral:lncRNA from 1 species
AGAGAGAGAGUAUCAAAACUAGCAAAAAAUGAUGCUAAAAAAAGCUGUCAUCCUUCUUUCUUUGAUCUGCAUUUCGAUUGCUGGUGUUUCUGGUCAAGCACCAGCAACGUCACCAACAGCAACACCAGCACCACCCACACCAACUUCUUCUCCACCGCCAGCAACCACUCCUCCACCAGUUUCAGCCCCACCUCCUGUUACCCAAUCUCCACCUCCAGCUACCCCUCCUCCAGUUUCAGCCCCACCACCUGCCACCCCUCCUCCCGCAACCCCACCACCAGCAACUCCUCCUCCCGCCACCCCACCACCAGCAACCCCACCACCUGCUACUCCUCCACCAGCAACCCCUCCUCCCGCUGUUCCUCCACCAGCUCCAUUGGCAGCUCCACCAGCUCUUGUUCCAGCUCCAGCUCCCAGCAAGCCUAAGUUGAAGUCUCCAGCUCCAUCUCCCCUGGCAUUGAGUCCUCCAUCUCCACCAACUGGCGCUCCUGCUCCAAGUUUGGGUGCUUCCUCUC